AGGGACUAGGUUACACUGAUAACUCUGAAGCUGAGUCAUCAAAAACAGAGUUUGUUAAAACUCAAAAACCUAAGGUUAAACCUGUCAAAUUUGUUGUUGAAUCCUCUAAGUCUAAACAGAGUAGACCAAAAUCAGAGAUUAACAAAAAUUUAAAAUCUGAUAAGCCCAAACAGGUUAACAUAGGACUGAUGACUCAGAAACAGCUUAAACACAAGCUUAAAGAAGUAAGACUAAUGACAAAAACAAGGAGCCUAGGAAAAACAGAAAUGGCAAGAUUGGAAUAGACAAGAGUAAUAACUACAUGCCUGUUCCAAAUGCACCUAGGAAAACAUGCCAUAACUGUGGUAAUACUAAUCAUCUUGCUAAUUUUUGCAGGAAGAACAAGGACAUUAACUCUUUACCUACAAAGUCUGGAGUUAGAAAAAGUAGUAUUAGAUAUAAACCACA
rnacentral:lncRNA from 1 species